CACACCACUGCUCUCCCUCCCUUUCAAGGCUGCUGGAAGGAGCAGCAUCAAAGUUCAAGCCCACGUUUCAAGUCGGUUCCAGGCGCUGCCCGCAGUUUGCUCUUGCCUGCCCGGAGCCACCUACCCGCCAUCUCACCCAGGUCACCUGCAAACGAAGGGGAGCCAGGGCUGCCUCUCUGCCGCUCUCCCCACCCCACGUCAGAAAGGGCAGAUCUCCCUGGCAGAUCUCCCUGUGCUUGAACAGGUGCCAGCGACCGGGAAGGUCUCGGUGCCAUUUAAUAGCAAACCCUCCCACAGUCACAGCACGACCCGGGGACAGCGGAUAGCGUGUCCCGGUCAGCUGAAGAAGGAGUCCUCCUCCUUGAUCUUCUCCAGGGAGAACCAACCCACUAUCGAAGCUCUGGAGAGGAUGGAAAAGGGACAAGGACGUUAAGGGCACAUUUGCUGUUGAACUUCACCUCCGGAUGUCUGUAACCACUCUCCCAGGAUUAUUGAGACAUUCAGUUUUCACCACGUGAAAAUCUACAAUACCGCUUCUAAUUCUAAUGCCAAUUCCCCGCUUUCUCCCUCACUUCUUCCCCACCAGCGCCGCCCGGAUUGGCUGAGCUCCUACAUCUCCCCUGCACAGCUCCCUGCCACAUCUGCCCGUUUCCACCCACCCAGGCUCAACUGGCUUGGCCGGGGCAGGGUGUAACCACUGCUCCAGCACCACAAAAAGAAGCUGCCCGAGAUAAAUGGCUUCAUGCUGAUAAACCUCACAUCUCUAGAAGGUCCUGGGUGUCAUAAGAAGCCAAGGUGGCUGGCUUGUACUUCCUCCCACACCACUGGAAGAUGCAGAAUUUGAUUUUAUUUUCUGCUGGUGCUGAGCGAGGCAAGGCACACCGCCUGCCCCACAAAACCCAUCCAGCAUUUGGGUUUCAACAACGAGUGAGGGGCAUUUGACUGGAGACCUUGUUUCAGCAGGCUGGGGAAAUGGUUGCUGCGGGUUAGGAAAUCCAGAGGAGGUGGAGGGUGGCACAAACCCACAGAACCGCAGGGGAGCAGAGAGGGGUAGCAGCUCUGGUGAUGUGAUGGAGUAGCAGUGGGGAUCAGGCACUGUGUUAUGUGCCAGAGGCUGCGCAGCCGGGGAGGGGAGGACACACCGCUCUCUCCCAUCUGUAUCCUCAGAAUAAUCCUGCCACCCAGCGUGGCACAGCCCCAGGCAGCUGGUCCUAGGCACCUUUGCUGGAUACUCCACUCACUCUCCCAAGCCGAGCACCUGAGUGGCCGAGCACACAUCCAGAAAAAACAUUGAAAUAAUAUGCAUACAUUAUUAUAAACAACAGGACUGGGAAGAACUAAAAGUUCCUGUGUUAAACCCUCCAAAUUAUUCCUAAAUUAAUCCGGCAAAAAUAGUAAGGCCAUCAGGUCUCAGUUUAAGACUGGAAUGCUACAUAUUCAGCAGGUCACACCAGGCUUGAUUGCAUUAGAGACCUUUAAGAUCAGGGCAAUGCUGUGGUACGUACUGUUCUCCAUCUACCCAACAGCUACAAAUUACACCGUCAGUGUAUUGACAUAUUAAAAAACAGAUGUUACAUAUAAAAAUGUA